UACGGAAGGGGCUAGCGUUGUUCGGAUUUACUGGGCGUAAAGCGCGCGUAGGCGGCGUGGCAAGUGGGGCGUGAAAGGCCUGGGCUCAACCUGGGAAUUGCGCUUCGGACUGCCAUGCUUGAGGCCGGGAGAGGGUGGUGGAAUUCCGAGUGUAGAGGUGAAAUUCGUAGAUAUUCGGAGGAACACCGGUGGCGAAGGCGGCCACCUGGCCCGGACCUGACGCUAAAGCGCGAAAGCGUCGGGAGCAAACAGG
rnacentral:rRNA from 1 species